rnacentral:rRNA from 1 species
UACGUAGGGUGCGAGCGUUGUCCGGAAUUAUUGGGCGUAAAGAGCUUGUAGGCGGUUUGUCGCGUCUGCUGUGAAAAUCCGGGGCUCAACCCCGGACUUGCAGUGGGUACGGGCAGACUAGAGUGUGGUAGGGGAGACUGGAAUUCCUGGUGUAGCGGUGGAAUGCGCAGAUAUCAGGAGGAACACCGGUGGCGAAGGCGGAUCUCUGGGCCAUUACUGACGCUGAGGAGCGAAAGCAUGGGGAGCGAACAGG